CUGAAAAUUAUUUACUGUUUAGUUAUACAUAGUUAAACAGUUAUUCACUAUUUAUUCUUAAACAUUUUCCUUUCCAUGUUAUGAUACUUUUUCAGGGUCUCUCCAUGCUGUUUAUGAUGAUCUCAAAUUCAGGCAAUGAGGACUUUCUGCUCUCCCAAGUUCCGAGAAGCUUUUCCUGAAUACAGUUACCAUAUCUAGCUGGUGAAUGCCACAUCAAUAACAGAAGUAUCAGUAAAAAGCUUCAGAAGCAACAUGGCUACUUCUGCGGGUACUGAGAAAUAUGUCUAAUGGU
rnacentral:lncRNA from 1 species